CUACGGGAGGCAGCAGUGGGGAAUCUUGCGCAAUGGGCGAAAGCCUGACGCAGCAACGCCGCGUGCGGGAAGAAGGCCUUCGGGUUGUAAACCGCUUUCAGUAGGGACGAAAACAGACGGUACCUACAGAAGAAGCCCCGGCCAACUACGUGCCAGCAGCCGCGGUAACACGUAGGGGGCGAGCGUUGUCCGGAUUUAUUGGGCGUAAAGAGCUUGUAGGCGGUUUGUCGCGUCUGCUGUGAAAAUCCGGGGCUCAACCCCGGACUUGCAGUGGGUACGGGCAAACUAGAGUGUGGUAGGGGAGACUGGAAUUCCUGGUGUAGCGGUGAAAUGCGCAGAUAUCAGGAGGAACACCAAUGGCGAAGGCAGGUCUCUGGGCCACUACUGACGCUGAGAAGCGAAAGCGUGGGGAGCAAACAGGAUUAGAAACCCUGGUAGUCC
rnacentral:rRNA from 1 species